rnacentral:rRNA from 1 species
GACGAACGCUGGCGGCGUGCUUAACACAUGCCAGUCGAACGAAGAGCGAUGGAAGCUUGCUUCUAUCAAUCUUAGUGGCGAACGGGUGAGUAACGCGUAAUCAACCUGCCCUUCAGAGGGGGACAACAGUUGGAAACGACUGCUAAUACCGCAUACGAUCUAAUCUCGGCAUCGAGGAUAGAUGAAAGGUGGCCUCUACAUGUAAGCUAUCACUGAAGGAGGGGAUUGCGUCUGAUUAGCUAGUUGGAGGGGUAACGGCCCACCAAGGCGAUGAUCAGUAGCCGGUCUGAGAGGAUGAACGGCCACAUUGGGACUGAGACACGGCCCAGACUCCUACGGGAGGCAGCAGUGGGGAAUCUUCCGCAAUGGACGAAAGUCUGACGGAGCAACGCCGCGUGAGUGAUGACGGCCCUCGGGUUGUAAAGCUCUGUUAAUCGGGACGAAAGGCCUUCUUGCGAAUAGUGAGAAGGAUUGACGGUACCGGAAUAGAAAGCCACGGCUAACUACGUG